rnacentral:rRNA from 1 species
CAGCAGCCGCGGUAAUACGAAGGGGGCUAGCGUUGCUCGGAAUGACUGGGCGUAAAGGGCGCGUAGGCGGCGGCCAAAGUCAGGCGUGAAAUUCCCGGGCUCAACCUGGGGGCUGCGUUUGAUACUUGGUUGCUUGAGUGGGGAAGAGGGUCGUGGAAUUCCCAGUGUAGAGGUGAAAUUCGUAGAUAUUGGGAAGAACACCGGUGGCGAAGGCGGCGACCUGGUCCUUUACUGACGCUGAGGCGCGAAAGCGUGGGGAGCAAACAGGAUUAGAGACCCCCGUAGUCCCUGUCUCUUAUAC